GUGUGCACUGCUGAAAAUCACUCUUUUUAAAGUAUUUUUUUAUUUUUAAAAAAAUACUAAAGUAAGAAUGCUCAUGGAAUAACCUAGCGGAGGGGUGGGGUACCCUCCCUUUCGUCUGGCUCUGAGCUGGGCUGGUCACUCACUUCCUCUGCGACUGACUAUCCAGACAGGCCCAGCCUUGUGUCCCUGCCCUCUGCCAACUGGAAGGCAGACUCUGGAAGGGGCUCCCUGACCCCAAGUGACUUUCUGCAUUUUUUAAUUAAAACCCCCCCCCCCCCCCCCAGAGGGCUCAUGGCCUGAAGACUCCCUUCACCCCCUCAUCGAGACUGGGGUCUCGAGCGUUUACCAUUUGCAUCCUGCGUCUUUACAGCCCUGAGCCCAGGGGAGAGGAUGAGGCUGCCGCCACCUGCCCCCACUACCGUCUCCCCUUGACCUCCCUGCAGCUGGGACAGCUGAAGCUGCUGCCUGAGAGCCAGCUCCAGGAGGAGCCAAGGCCCGUCAGGUGGGAGCGGAACCCUGGGGCUUGGGUUCCCACAGACGCCCAGGAACACUGCUGACACGCUUACAGCCUGUGACCAGGUAUGUGCCCUUGGUGCCAGCAAAGGCCAGCUCAGCAGACGCACCUCCACCCCAGGGUCACCUGAGGCAGAGCCACCCGACAGAACCCGGCGCAGCAGCUGCGGAGCCUGGACUCUGAGGGACGAGUGAGCCCCCCACAGAGCCUCCACCUUGUUCACCCUCUGGCCCGGCGGGACCUUUUACUAUUUUCCUGGUCAUCCGGGUGGCACUUAGGAAAACCGGCGAAACAGAGAAAUCCAGACUGUCAUACGAUUGGUUUAAUUUUUUUUUCAGCAGGAGAAAAAAGAAUAAAGUUACAAGAUUCUUUUAA